ACACCACAAGAUGAAGUGAGCGGGCCGUGAUCCUACAUAACGUAGGAUUCGGCCCAGGAAAGUCCCCGGGCCCAAUACCGCAGAGAUGCGGCCCUGGAAACAGGUGUACUCCGAUGGCUUAAGGAGUCCGGUCCACUUUCACGGUGGACAGGCUGAGACGUGUUUGGAGCACAUGGACUCCUAGCCCGGAGGAUCUUGGCCGACUUAACAGUUAUUCACUUGGUCCGUAGGACUAACUGAACGGGGCUUACAUUCUUGUGGUA
rnacentral:RNase_MRP_RNA from 1 species